UACUGUGCCAUGUUCUUGUUAGCUAGA
rnacentral:piRNA from 1 species